AUAUCAAUAAGCGGAGGAAAAGAAACCAACAGGGAUUGCCUCAGUACGGCGAGUGAAGCGGCAACAGCUCAAAUUUGAAAUCUGGCUCUUUCAGGGUCCGAGUUGUAAUUUGUAGAAGAUGCUUUGGGUGUAGCUCCGGUCUAAGUUCCUUGGAACAGGACGUCAUAGAGGGUGAGAAUCCCGUACGUGACUGGGCGCUUCGCCUCGUGUAAAGCUCUUUCAACGAGUCGAGUUGUUUGGGAAUGCAGCUCAAAAUGGGUGGUAAUUACAUUCUA
rnacentral:rRNA from 1 species